rnacentral:rRNA from 1 species
CCUACGGGGCGCAGCAGUGGGGAAUAUUGCACAAUGGGGGGAACCCUGAUGCAGCGACGCCGCGUGGGUGAAGAAGUCAUUCGUGACGUAAAGCCCUAUCAGCAGGGAAGAAAAUGACGGUACCUGACUAAGAAGCCCCGGCUAACUACGUGCCAGCAGCCGCGGUAAUACGUAGGGGGCAAGCGUUAUCCGGAUUUACUGGGUGUAAAGGGAGCGUAGACGGCGGCGCAAGUCCGGAGUGAAAGCCCAAGGCUCAACCAUGGGACUGCUUUGGAAACUGUAAAACUGGAGUGCAGGAGAGGUAA